rnacentral:rRNA from 1 species
AUGACCGUAGCAAUGCCAGCUGCUUGCUCGCUUCUUCUACUUCUCCUUCUGGUGGCGCCAGUGGCCGCCGGGAAUCCCAAGCGGCAUCCCAUUCACAAGCCCGCCAGCAAAUGCGUCAUCAAAGGUGUCCGUUGGGCGAACUGGGAGCAGUUGAUGGAGGAGCAAGCCCCGGUCCUCGUCAUUGAUGAUCACCAUCACCAGCCGGGCAGCCCGGCGCACACGUACGGCGCCUUCAUCUUCGACCUCUCCGUCGGGCGGCAGGCCCUCUCUGUCGUCAUGGACAUCUCCAGCGAGCUCGUCUGGGCGCGGUGUGGACCCCGGCUCAGGCCCACGCGGCCACGCCCACCUUCUUGCCCCACCACUUCGGCUCCUUCGCCCCGGUCGCCCCCUGCCCAUCAUGGCUGCGCAGCCCGCGGCCGGUACGUAGAGCACAUUUACGGCGCCGGCAACACAUCCGGCUACCUCGCCACCGACAAGUUCCGCUUGGGGAACACGAAGGUCAGGAGCUUGGUGUUCGGCUGCAGCCACAAGGUCACAGUGCCGGACAGCGUCGACGUCGCCUCCGGCUUCGUGGGAUUCAACAGAGGCCCCGUGUCCCUCGUCUCGCAGCUCCGGAUCUCAAGGUUCUCCUACUUCAUCACGCUCCCCGACGACCCCGACAACAACAAGGCCUUCGUUAGCUUGAGCUGGGCAGACCACGCCGACGCUAAGGGCAGCCACACGCCGCUACUGGCGGCCAGGCCCAACCAGAACCCUUACUUGUACUACGUCAACCUCACCGGCCUGCAGGUGGACGGGCAGCUCCUCACCGACACCCCGGCGGGGACCUUCGACGUCCGGGCGAACGGCUCCGGCGGGGGCCUGGCUCCGGUGAACUCUACGGCCGGCCACAGCCUAUGCUUCCUCACGCAGCACUUCUCCAAGCUGAAGAAGGUUCCCAAGCUUGCGCUGGUGUUCGACGGCGCCGACGCGACGAUGGAGCUCAAGGCGCAGAACUACUUCUUCGCCCUUCGUGGCGGGCAGACGUGCCUGAGCAUACUGACGUCGACCACCGGCGAGUCCGUCCUAGGCAGCCUGCUGCAGACCGGCAGGACGAUGACCUACGACAUCCAUGGCGACGGCCGCGGCCAGCUGACGUUCUCGGGAGCGCCAGCGCCGGCGCAGGUGUCGCUGGCUACGCUUUUACUAGUCUGGGUGCUCCUCUUCUAG